UGGGGAAUAUUGCACAAUGGGCGCAAGCCUGAUGCAGCGACGCCGCGUGCGGGAUGACGGCCUUCGGGUUGUAAACCGCUUUUGAUCGGGAGCAAGCCUUCGGGUGAGUGUACCUUUCGAAUAAGCACCGGCUAACUACGUGCCAGCAGCCGCGGUAAUACGUAGGGUGCAAGCGUUAUCCGGAAUUAUUGGGCGUAAAGGGCUCGUAGGCGGUUCGUCGCGUCCGGUGUGAAAGUCCAUCGCUUAACGGUGGAUCUGCGCCGGGUACGGGCGGGCUGGAGUGCGGUAGGGGAGACUGGAAUUCCCGGUGUAACGGUGGAAUGUGUAGAUAUCGGGAAGAACACCAAUGGCGAAGGCAGGUCUCUGGGCCGUUACUGACGCUGAGGAGCGAAAGCGUGGGGAGCGAACA
rnacentral:rRNA from 2 species